rnacentral:lncRNA from 1 species
UCUAAGGCUCACUCGUUUCUUUCCAAAAUGCAACCAGAGAAGACAAUAUGUCUGUUCUGAUAGUAUUUGCCAUUUGCAUCAACCCCUUCUGUUUGGUACAUUUUCCUAGAAAGCGUGUGAUCUAGGUUCAAGUUUACAAUCUGACCUUACUUAUUUUGUGAGAUUACUGUCAUAUCCAGCUACAGGCAAGUUCUACAAAGCUCUAUAUCUUCUGCAAUUUGUGUGUGUGCUUUACCUCCCUGGAGCACUCACAGUGCCUGGUUUCUCAAGGGGAGUGGCAGUACCUGGCUGUGUUUCUAGAUCCCACUGGGGCCCAGGUCUACAUGAAACAAGUCACAGCCAGAAGCAGAGCAGGAGGUGCUUUGGAGCUUGCAGGUCCAGCAUGCACCAAUCAAUUUCAUAAGGUGCCUGCAAAGGUACUUGCAUGGACUUACUUCUACAUGGGAGUAGAAUCAGAAGACAACCAUGCUUUGCCAUGCUAUCUGAAGAAAUUACCACCAACUCUGCCCUGCUCCUCUCUGCCACCUUUUCACUGGAUAAUGCUGCUCAUUUAGAUCUGGUGGUGCAUCCUGUACACCAGAUGUAGAGAAGCCAGUAUAUCCAGCCUAGAGUGAACACAUCCUUUCAUUUACUCCCCUUCCUUAAAUAUAGAGCCCAUUUUGAAGUAAAGAGAAGGAAAAUGCUGUGAUUCAUACGGUAUCAAUAUUUACAUCUAUGAGUUCACAGAUUUGUUAAACUGUUUA